UUCACCAUGUUGGCCAGGCUGGUCUCAAACCCCUGACCUCAAGUGAUCCACCUGCCUCGGGGGUUUUGCUCGUUUUCUGGGGCAGUGUUUUGGGGUUUGCCUUUCCUCUGUGAGGUGCCGGGUUUUCCAGCAGGGUGUUGUUGUGGGAGGAACGGGGUGUUCACCAUGGCAACAGCUAAUGCUGCCAGCGUGUGAUGAGUGUUGCCUGCCAGCACUGGUGGGCGCUUUCCGCUGCCCUCGUGUAGCCCCCACCACCACCUGUGAGAAGGCAGCACCACCCCCACUGUGCAGACGAGGGAUUGAGGCUCAGGAGGCGGCAGCUGUAGGGGUGGGCUUGGGGUCCGGGAGGAGCCGCCCUGCAGGCCUCCUGUGAAGCAGCGGGCUUCAUGGCUCUUUCCCCGUCCUCCUCACCUCCACCUGGGCCUGGGGAUGGCUGCCACACACCUGCUUCUGCUGCACCGCGCACACUAAGUUCUCCUGAGACCCAAGCCUCAGAGGACCGCCUCAGCCCCGGGGUGACCCUGGCUGGCAUCUGAGAACCCAUGUGGUCAGGAGAUUGCAGCUGAGAAGGCGCGAAGCUGCUGGUCCCUGAAAAGCUGCCGCCUACCCUGGUCUGGAGCCCCUGCGAGCUGGCGUAGAGCAGGAAGGGGUUGCAUCACAGCUGAGUCCUCCCCUGCGCAGCGCAUGGUACGAUGCCACCCC
rnacentral:lncRNA from 1 species